UUCCGGUUGAUCCUGCCGGACCCUACUGCUAUCGGGGUGAGACUUAGGCAUGUUAGUCGUACGCCUCCCAGCCGCUGGGGGAGGAGUGGCGGACAGCUCAAUAACACGUAGUUAACCUGCCCUCAGGACAGAGAUAACCUUGGGAAACUGGGGUUAAUCCCUGAUAGAUGAGGCAGCCUGGAAUGACUCCUCAUCGAGAAGAUGUUGGAACCGUGCUUCCAAUGUCGCCUGAGGAUGAGACUACGGCCGAUCAGGUAGUUGGUGAGGUAACGGCUCACCAAGCCUAUAACCGGUACGGGCCGUGAGAGCGGUAGCCUGGAGAUGGGCACUGAGACAAGGGCCCAGGCCCUACGGGGCGCAGCAGUCGCGAAACCUCCGCAAUGCGCGAAAGCGUGACGGGGUUACCCCGAGUGUCACCUGCUGAAGGUAACUUUUCCUCAGUCUAACCAGCUGAAGGUAAUAAGGGGAGGGCAAGUCUGGUGUCAGCCGCCGCGGUAAUACCAGCUCCCCGAGUGGUAAGGACGAUUAUUGGGCCUAAAGCGUCCGUAGCUGGCUUGAUAAGUUUCCCGUUAAAUCCGACGAUCCAAUCGUCGGGCUGCGGGAAAUACUGUUAAGCUAGGAGGCGGGAGAGGCCGGCGGUACUUUUGGGGUAGGGGUGAAAUCCUAUAAUCCUAGGAGGACCACCAGUGGCGAAAGCGGUCGGCUAGAACGCGCCCGACGGUGAGGGACGAAAGCUGGGGUAGCGAACCGGAUUAGAUACCCGGGUAGUCCCAGCCGUAAACGAUGCAGCUAGUGUUGGAUUGGCUACGAGCCACUCCGGUGCCGCAAGGAAGCUGUUAAGCCUGCCGCCUGGGAGUACGUCGCAGACUGAACUUAAAGAUGCGGGGAGCACACAGAGUGAGCUGCGUUAUGAUCACGCG
rnacentral:rRNA from 1 species